UACGUAGGGGGCGAGCGUUAUCCGGAUUCAUUGGGCGUAAAGCGCGCGUAGGCGGCCAGUUAGGUCGGGAGUCAAAUUUCGGGGCUCAACCCCGUCUCGCUCCCGAUACCGGCUGGCUUGAGUGUGGUAGGGGAAGGCGGAAUUCCCGGUGUAGCGGUGAAAUGCGUAGAUAUUAGGAAGAACACCAGUGGCGAAGGCGGCUUGCUGGACAGUAACUGACGUUGAGGCUCGAAAGCGUGGGGAGCAAACAGG
rnacentral:rRNA from 1 species